UGUUAUACCACAAGCCCGGAUCGGCUACGACGUCGCUUCAAGCACCUCGAAUCCUUGAAGCUGAAAGGGAAGCCGAGGGCUGCUAUGUUUAAUUUAAUACCGGAGGAUUGGGGAGGCUUCGUUACUCCCUGGGUUAAUGAAAUUGCGGAAUCGUUUAAUUGCUUGAAAUCCCUUCACUUUAGACGCAUGAUUGUGACGGAUUCGGAUCUGGAGGUUCUCGCUAAGUCUCGCGGCCGGGUACUACAGGUCUUGAAGAUUGAGAAGUGUUCUGGGUUCUCUACUGAUGGACUUUUACACGUGGGUCGCCUCUGCAGGUACUGAUUUUUGCUUAUAGUUUUGUGACAAAUGUUGGGUCUUACCUAAAAUUAGUUUAGGAGAUUUAUCAGUUUGCUUUUCAUUUUUGAUCUUUUGGGAUUUUUCUUUCAAAUUUUGUAAUAAAUCUAUUUGGAUUGUUUUUUUUGCUUAAUUCUUUCGUUGAUUUUUUCAAGUUUGUUAUUAUUUUAUUUGAUAUGGUGUGCGUAUGUUAGAUUUUUGGUGAGAGAUAUCUUAACCAUUGAAAGGAAUUUUGGUUUUCUAUUGUUUAUGGGAAGAGCGAACUGAUGCACCUUAUAGUUUGCUUUAUAUCUCUACUCUUUGGGAUUAUUUUCUUUUCAGCUUUAAAAUCUUAUUGGAUAAUCUUUUGCCUUUUUGUCCAAGCUUCAAUGUCUUCAUGUGCCACAUGGGUAUGUAUUUUUUGUUUUAGCAUCUUUAGUUGGUUUCUAGUUUUGUUUCCUUUCAUUUGAUGUUAAGGUGUGUGAAUUGCAUCUAUUUAUAUUUCAAAUGUUUUCUUCAUUUCUUGGGGAAAAGUAUCAUAGAUGACCGCUAUAUUAAUUUCUGCAGCUAUAAUAUUUGUUCCAUAUCUUGUGAAGAAAAUAUCUUGGUUUACUGUUUAGGACGUCAUGAGAGUAACUCUUUUACAAUUUUAAAUGAAAUCUAUCUGCUUUAGAAUUGAUGCUCAUAUGACCUCAUUGUGUUUGGUUGAUGUCUUCUUUGCUCAGAUUUUGUGAAUCUGGUCUGGCUUGUUUUUUCAGGUGUAUAAAGUAGAAAAAUAAAUUUGGACCAGAUAGGUCGAUAGGUAGAAUACAAGUUGCAUAUCCUGGUCCCUGCUACUUCCUUCCCCAGAAAUGCCUGCACCUUAGUUAAGUUAUUAGUCAUAAAAUUAUGGGUUGGAUAUGGUUUUUUUUUUUUUUUGGGGGAAAAAAAUACUGGAUAUAGUCAACAUUUCCCCAUGGUCCAGGACUCCUAAGCUUGGUCUGGUUAUGGAAUUUUGUUCCAGUUGCAUUUCUCUUAUGUUAAUAUGGUCACUCAUCCAUCAUGCCUUAAAUCUGAUCCAAAAUAAAGGCAUUUCCCACUUUCCUGCAGCUUGACAUUCAUUUCACUUGAUCUUGGUUAUUUCUCCAUCCUUUCCCUGUCUCUCCUUAAUUCUAGCAGGUUAGCAGUCAUAAUAUAAUGAUUUAGCUGCUGUUUGUUGACUAUUAUUAUGUGUUUCCCCAGGCAAUUGAGAACAUUAUUUUUGGAAGAGAGCUCAAUUCUUGAGAAAGAUGGUGACUGGCUGCACGAGAUUGCCUUGAAUAAUACUGUUCUUGAGACUUUAAAUUUUUACAUGACAGACCUCAACACAGUCAGAUUUGAAGACCUUGAGCUCAUAGCCAAAAACUGCCGCAAUUUAGUCUCUGUCAAGAUUAGUGAUUGUGAAAUUUUGGAUCUUGUUGGUUUCUUUCAUGCUGCAGCUGCUCUAGAAGAAUUUUGUGGGGGUUCCUUCAAUGAUGUACCAGAAAGGUACUCUGCUGUGUCAUUCCCCCGAAAAUUGUGUCGUUUGGGUCUAACCUAUAUGGGGAAAAAUGAAAUGCCAAUAGUGUUCCCUUUUGCAUCCCUGCUUAAAAAGUUGGAUCUCCUCUAUGCAUUGCUUGACACAGAGGACCAUUGUCUUCUAAUUCAAAAAUGCUUCAACUUAGAAGUUCUUGAGGUACAGUAACAAACAUGAUUCUUCUCUCAUGUGGUAUUGUUGUAAUUGUCUUUAUCAUUUGUUUCUAUUGUAUCUGUUUUGUCUCCCCAUUUAUUUGACAUCUAUAGAUACCCCCAAGGUAAUCUUUCCCGCAUGGACAUGCAUUUUAUGUUCUUCGUACUUUUGAUUCCCAUUAACAGUUUCUUACUUUUUCAUAUUAUUGUAAGUUACGAUUUGAUACCUGUUUUUUUCUUUCUUUGUAAAAAAAAAAUUUCCAUCACGAUUUCAUAAUUUGCUGAUUUUGUUUCGAAUAGUGCAUGAUCCCCAUAAUUUUAUCUUGUAUGUAUUACUUAAACUUGUGGCUUAGCCUAGGUAAACUUGUGACUUAGCCUAGGUCUUGUCUCUUGAGGUAUUAAAUAUAAUAUUCAAGAAAGAGAACUUUGAAAUUCUUGAAAAUAAUGAAAGCCCCAAAAUAUGGGGGAUGCUUUAGGAAAAUUGGGGGUAUCUGUGCUUGUUUGCUUGUGGAACUUUAUAUGGAAUUAUGUUUAUGGUUCAAGAAUUAUUGUUGUAAGUGUAUUUUUAAUAUUGACAGACAAGAAAUGUUAUUGGAGAUCGAGGGUUGGAAGUUCUUGCUUCAAGUUGCAGGCGACUAAAGAGGCUUAGAAUUGAGCGUGGUGCUGAUGAGCAGGGAAUGGAGGAUGAAGAAGGUGUAGUUUCACAAAGAGGAUUAAUUGCUCUGGCUCAGGGUUGCCUAGAACUGGAGUACAUGGCUGUUUAUGUUUCUGACAUUACAAAUGUAGCUUUAGAACAUAUUGGUGCUCAUUUAAGGAACUUGAAUGAUUUUCGAUUGGUCUUGCUCGACCGAGAAGAGAGGAUAACAGACCUACCACUCGACAACGGAGUUCGAUCUCUAUUGAGGCAAUGUGAGAAGCUUCGAAGGUUUGCUCUGUAUCUUCGACCGGGGGGUUUGACUGAUGUGGGUCUUGGUUAUAUUGGGCAGUACAGUAUAAAUGUGAGAUGGAUGCUUUUGCGUUAUGUUGGGGAGUCUGAUGAAGGGCUUUUGGAAUUUUCUAAAGGAUGUCCUAGUCUUCAAAAACUAGAAAUGAGGGGCUGUUGCUUCACUGAGAGUGCACUGGCCAGAGCUGUGAUGCAACUGACUUCUUUGAGGUAUUUGUGGGUGCAAGGUUACAGAGCAUCAUCAUCCAAUCCAGGUCGCGAUCUUUCAGCAAUGGUUCGCCCCUUUUGGAACAUCGAGUUGAUUCCUCCUAGAAAGGUUGUGGUGGUUAAUCAGGUUGGAGAGGAUGUUGUUGUUGAGCAGCCAGCCCAUAUACUUGCAUAUUACUCCCUUGCUGGACCAAGAACAGAUUUUCCAAACUCUGUUGUCCCCUUGGAUUUGGUGGGGUCAGUUGCCACGUAGAGCUGUAUAUUGAUGUUGCGUAUCUUUCUUUUUUCCUACGAUGCCCUGUUUGUAAAUUUAUCCAUCUUUUUCCAUUGUGGUAAGAGGAUUUCAGUUCUAAUUUUAUUUCUGGACCUUUGUCCUGUAAUAAGCUUGCAUUUUCUCUGUAAUUUGAAUCCAUUUGUACUCAUGAUGCUCUAAUUCUUACCCUCUUGUUUACGGCCAAUUAGCAGUAGGUCUAAUUAUAAGGAGACUUGUACUCCCAUCUUCCUAUUCAAUGUUGUUGGAAAUUGAUAUCUGAAACUGGGAAUGAUUAUGAGUUCUUU
rnacentral:misc_RNA from 1 species